rnacentral:lncRNA from 1 species
UGCCGGAAGUGGCGAGUUAAAGGCGCUCUGUAGUGGUCACCAUUUUUCUCCCCUCAGGACGCUGCGUCCACUGAGAGGCAACACGUUUUAGAUGGCGGCUGGCAGCAGCUUCGCCUAGGCUGGCAGGUUUGGGCCAGGAGACCCUGAGGCCUGAGAAGUCCGGGCACCUUAAGGCCGCUGCUGCUUUAAGACCAUAGAGGUGAGGGCGGGGAGCCAUUUGCCUGUGCUUCAAAGCCUGCGCCCAGCAGGCUGGCGGCAGGAGAGAGGGAUCUGGGACCUGCUCCUUGAGGCCCCUGCCAUCCCCUGGCCCUGGGUCACCAUCCAGCGGCAUCACUGAGGGCCGGGAGGGCCCUGGAGAAGCAGGCCGCGCACCGUUUUUUCACAGACGAUGUUUUCAGAGACUCUGCAUGGCUGCCCUUUUCUCAAAUGAAGUCAUAAAGGUUGGUUUUGCCAUAUACUUCCAGCAAAGAACAUUCUUGUCAAGAGAAGACCACAGCUCUUGAGUUGGCUUCUAGAAUGUAACAAGCUCUGCCUGGCAUGCAGUAUAACUAUGGACUCAACUCACCAAGAAAGUAAGAAUUUGACAUUUAAAAUGACUGUUUAGAAUUUCCACUUACCACAUUUAUUUUUAA